CAAAAAAUAGUUUAAUAAAAACAUUAAUUUUGGAGAUUAAAGAUAUAAUGAUUAUAUUAUUUUUUUGA
rnacentral:tRNA from 1 species